rnacentral:rRNA from 1 species
UACGUAGGGGCAAGCGUUGUCCGGAUUUAUUGGGCGUAAAGAGCGUGUAGGCGGCUUUACAGGUCCGUUGUGAAAACUCGAGGCUCAACCUCGAGACGCCGGUGGAAACCGUAAGGCUAGAGUCCGGAAGAGGAGAGUGGAAAUUCCUGGUGUAGCGGUGAAAUGCGCAGAUAUCAGGAGGAACACCCGUGGCGAAAGCGGCUCUCUGGGACGGUACUGACGGCUGAGACGCGAAAGCGUGGGGAGCAAACAGG